rnacentral:rRNA from 1 species
CCCUUAGAUGUUCUGGGCUGCACGCGCGCUACACUGAUACUUUCAGCGAGUCCACCACCUUGCCUGGGAGGGUGGGGUAACCUCUGGAAAGUGCAUCGUGAUGGGGAUCGAUUAUUGUAAUUAUUAAUCUUCAACGAGGAAUUCCUAGUAAGCAUGUGUCAUCAGCCCGUGCUGAUUACGUCCCUGCCCUUUGUACACACCGCCCGUCGCACCUACCGAUUGAAUGGUCCGGUGAAGCCUCCGGAUUGGCGCGCACCUCGGUGCCGCCGAGAAGUUGGCUAAACCUUACCAUUUAGAGGAAGGUGAAGUCGUANCA